CAGUCGCCGCGGUAAUACAGAGGGUGCAAGCGUUAAUCGGAAUUACUGGGCGUAAAGCGCGCGUAGGUGGUUCGCCAAGUUGGAUGUGAAAUCCCCGGGCUCAACCUGGGAACUGCAUUUGUGACUGGCAGGCUAGAGUAUGGCAGAGGGGGGUGGAAUUCCGCGUGUAGCAGUGAAAUGCGUAGAUAUGCGGAGGAACACCGAUGGCGAAGGCAGCCCCCUGGGCCAAUACUGACGCUCAUGCACGAAAGCGUGGGGAGCAAACAGGAUUAGAUACCCGUGUAGUCCCUGUCUCUUAUAC
rnacentral:rRNA from 1 species